rnacentral:rRNA from 1 species
UACAGAGGGUGCGAGCGUUGUCCGGAAUCACUGGGCGUAAAGGGCGCGUAGGCGGCCUGAUAAGUAGGGGGUGAAAUCUUGCGGCUCAACCGCAAGGCUGCCUUCUAAACUGUCAGGCUGGAGCACGGUAGAGGCAGAUGGAAUUCCCGGUGUAGCGGUGGGAUGCGUAGAGAUCGGGAAGAACACCAGUGGCGAAGGCGGUCUGCUGGGCCGUUGCUGACGCUGAGACGCGAAAGCGUGGGGAGCGAACAGG